AGCAGUAUAUCCUUUGCGUCGGACUCGUCAGACUCGUUAAAGGAAAAAGCUUCUUCCAGUUCGAGAUGAAGGAAAGUAGUGGAGGAGAGGAAGCCAUAUGGGGAUGCACUCACGCAAUCUCCCUACCGAGGGUGCUACACGACGGUAUAUCACUGUGUUGUGUGCACAUUUGUUUAUUUUCUCUAUGGAGCAGCGCUGUCUGGUAGGAUAUCAUCCUCACUGUUUCUCCCCCACACCUGAGAGAUCGACAUGUCCUCCAGCUCGUGUCUCCAGCCAAUCGGACAAUAGCCAUGUGUCUCACUCCUGUGCACUCUCUAGCCAUGUAGUCUAUCUAGACCUUGAUUGGUUAGUAGCCUAACGCAUUCUCUCCAAGGGAGUAAAUAUUCCCCAUACCGAACGGUCUUUUUCCAUUCUGUGAGUGUCGGUGGACUUGUAUACAUGGGAUGCUUGAGAACAUGUACAUUUGUAUCACUAUUGUUAUGGUGUGUUUACUACAUACAGUGCCUCCAGAAAGUAUUCAUAUCCCUUGACAUAUUCCACAUUUUGUUGUGUUACAGCCUGAAUUUAAAAUAUUUUAUAUAUUUUUUACUCACUGAUGACAAAGUGAAAACUUGUUUUUAGAAAUGU